CCUUGUCACCUACACGAGAAAUGCACCAACGUCCUAACACGACCUUCUAACCAUUAGUAAUUUAUUGCAAAAUCAUUCAAAUUAUUCGAUUUCGUUGUAUACGUUGUGUUUCGUGUGUGUCGUAAUUAGAACAGGUUGAGCCCCCGGAUUCGAACAACCACGCAAAAUUCCACGACAUGGGAUAAAUUCCAUGGGUUCGUGGGUGUCAAUGCAACAACAACGACGACAAGAACAACACAGGAAAUGCGCCAACGAUUCACACAUCCCAUUUGUUUUCCAAACACGACUUUUCGAUUCACAAUUUUCCCAUUAACGACGAUAAAAUUUCAAUGUAUGGAUAGAGAGACACAUUCAAGGUUUUUGUACAGUACCAUCCCAUCGAUUCACACCCAUGGCGAAUGUUGUGCAACCACCAAGAGGCGGCAAACCCAGAUUUUGCAAGACAAACAACAAUACAACGUCGUGAUGGAAUCUCGAAAAAUUUUUUUGAAAAAAACCCGAAAUAAAUCGGAAAAUAAAAAUACUAUAUUAUUA